AUGUCUGGGAAACUGCCCGAUGGAGGGGGAUAACUACUGGAAACGGUAGCUAAUACCGCAUAACGUCGCAAGACCAAAGAGGGGGACCUUCGGGCCUCUUGCCAUCGGAUGUGCCCAGAUGGGAUUAGCUAGUAGGUGGGGUAAAGGCUCACCUAGGCGACGAUCCCUAGCUGGUCUGAGAGGAUGACCAGCCACACUGGAACUGAGACACGGUCCAGACUCCUACGGGAGGCAG
rnacentral:rRNA from 1 species